CCCUUAGAUGUUCUGGGCCGCACGCGCGCUACACUGACGGGGGCAGCGAGCGUGUCCUUCGCCGGCAGGUGCGGGCAAUCUUGCGAGUCUCCGUCGUGCUGGGGAUAGAUGGUUGCAAUUGUCGAUCUUGAACGAGGAAUUCCUAGUAAGCGCGAGUCAUCAGCUCGCGCUGAUUACGUCCCUGCCCUUUGUACACACCGCCCGUCGCUACUACAGAGUGCCCGUGUCCAAGAAACGGUCGGACCUGUGCGGCCUCUCCGGGCGACCGGAGGGCCGUUACGGGGAAGACCCUUUAUUUGACGCGGGUCGAUGAAGUAAAAGUCGUAACA
rnacentral:rRNA from 1 species